AGUAGUAGUAGUAGCAGCUUUUUUUUAAGUAACAACACUGAAUAAACUGUCUCUGUCAAAGAAAGACGUUCAAGUGACUGGAGAUAAUAAAGAAGGGUUUCAGUCCGUGGGAUUUAAAAAAUCCACCCAAGAACCUGGUGAUGCUCUGACCCACAGUCUGUGAAGUAACCAGCUGGAAAAGCCAAACUACAGCUCUGCAUACAGCAGCCCUAAUGGUCAAGACUGCACUGAUGGCUUCCCACCUUUUAGCCCUUGCUUCCAACUUAGGACCAAAAGGGAGAACCAAAUAGACACCCUCUUUCCAGUCAGGUUUUUAGAUAAUAACUGUUUCAAUCAACUGCCAAUCCGAAAAUCUUUGAAUCCACCUAUGACCCGGAAGCCUUCCUCCCACCAACCGCCUUCGAGCUGUCCCACCUUUCUGGACUGAAUCAAUUUCCAUGAUGGAAAAUCGAAUGGUCACUUUCCAUUUACCACGUCCAAGGAGCAGUCCAGGCUUCCCUCCAUUUCCACAAUGACCCCAAGUGUUUUGCCAUUUGCUCCUCGAAGAACAUCUGGAUUUGUUUCUGGCUUUUGGCUAUGAGGAAUAAGCCUGCUGAGAACAUUCACCUCCAGGAUUUUGUGUGAAUGUAAGUGCUUUAGGGGUGGGGCAGGACCCUGCAGGCCAUCGCUGGGUUGGAUGAUUCUCUAGAGGGACCCAGAGAACUCCGCCAAGCUGACCUAAGCCCCUGAAAGUCAAACAGAUACUGCGUGGCCCAAUGCCUGCACCAUAGCUCACUUGUUGGAAUAAACUGGCCAAGAAAAAUGGAGGUAAGUGAUUACAUUAUCAGAGGCAUCCUAGGUGGAUCCUGGAGAUGUGGACAGUACCUGUAGUCAUGAAGCUGACAGCUGGAAGAAGCCCGUCUGGUUCAACCCCUGUCUGGCAUAUUCCUUCCUUCUCCAUCCUCACUUUCUACCCCUCACAGGGACAGAUAAUUUACAGCUUACCGAGCCAGGUCAUUGCACUUUUGGACAACUCUACUAAAUGGAUUUUCCUCAUGCCAUCACAUAACUGCUGCCUGCCACCAGAGCCUUAGAAAUGUAUGGUUUUCCAUCAAGCACUCAUGGAACACGUCACUGUGGGCACUUCUGGGGGGUUCAUGAUGGAUCCUUCAAGAUCAACUAAAUAUAAAACAAGCUCCCAGGUAACAGAACCACUUCAGCUGUUAAAUAAAAUCAUCUGUGUUAACCUAGUUUAA